GUUCAUAAUUAACUGCUGAGAGACGGGUCAUGUGAUUAUCCAGGCGACGUUCAUAAUUAACUGGUAACCAUUAAUCUUCAAUCAACUAUCAGCUAUGAUGAGGGUAGGACCAACGGAGCCAGACAACGGAUCUUCAUUGUGAGCUAUGACUGUUAACAUGUGGCGAGAGCACGUCACCGCAGAAACCUUCACCAUAGUCAAAAUAAACCCGGGUGAACACUGCGAAAAAUACAACUGGCAGAGACACAUGGCUGAACCUGGAGAAAGUGUGAACUGUGGUGGUGAAGGGGAGGGGCUAAAAUCUCCAGACAGGAAGUGAAGCAGGAAUGUUGCAGUUGGGGCUAAAGGAGUGCAAGACAUCGCUGGAUGCCGAGGCACAAACCCCAGACUCCUGCAAGUCCAACGAGAUUCCCGUCAACGGACCUGUUUGAAGGAUUACCGGGCUCAGGAGCGACCAUGGGAUCACAGCAGCAGGGCCAACUCCUGUCUUUAGGCGCCGGGGCCCUGCCAGCGUCAGAAUACCUUUCAGUUAGCACUUGAUUUAGAGCCAAAAGAAACAGGUUAGUUGACCUGAAACAAUAACCCAAAAGAAACCAUUAACGGUGGAACGAAACACAGUUUGUGAUCCUUGGGGCUGGUGCCUAUGGAACGUGUGGCCCAGAAGCUUAUGUAGGUUCACUGCCUUCUCGGUGAAGAAUGAUCGAGAAGCUUGUGCAUGGGAAGUUAAGUAGUACUGGGCCAAUUUUACAGUCAGACACCAAUCACACCUCUGGUCUGUGCAGGCUCUAGAUGUUGAUGACCUGGUGUGGAAUGGGCUCUACCUUAGCAUCCCAGAGCCAAGAUCUGGUAACACUUUGUGACCUAACCCUAGUGGACUCUGGUUUCUGUCACACAGGCCAAGUCUGGUGCAUGUUUCCAAAGCACUAAAGCUAUCAGUAAAAUAUCUCCCAGCCUCUGGUUCACUCAGGGGACCAGCAAAUGUUCUCCAGUAUUUAUACAGCUCUUUUGGACUAUAUCCACUGAUUUAUACAGUGGAAUAUUACAGUAAUAUAAAGGCUUCUGAAUGUAAAUAUUCAUGCGGUACGCUCGUAUUGCCUGAGGUAUAUGUAUGUUGUUUUUUGACGUAAAUAAUCCGCCAUUCAUGGCUGCGUGUUAGAAGG